UUAUUAGCGUGCGAAGUAUCAAAACGUCCUCGCGUCAUCUAUUCAAUUUUAUGCACGUUUAACAGUGAUAAAUAUUUGAUUAAAAUUCAUUCAUUAAACGUUCUUUGCAGACUUUGAAAUUAUAAAUUUGCCCGGUAAGAGAACGUUACUAAUGCUCAAUGGAUAUACAUUCGCGAAGACGACGAAAAGGCAUUGGUACUGCUCGAAAAGAUUCAAAGGUUGUCAAGCGAGAGUUUUUUUGAGCGUCGACGAGUUGGACAUAAUAUACUGUGACGUAAACCACAAUCACGAUCCACCAGUGUAUCGAAGAGGUCCAGAUGGAUGCUACUUAAAAAUUCAAAGUUAAUUAGAUAUAAAAUCGGAGCAAAAAAAACUUGUUGCUGCAGAAAAUUAUGAUGGAUUUCUUUAUACUUUAUUUAACUUUAUAUAUAAAAUGAUAUGUAAUUGAAUUAUUAAUACAUAAAUAAAUGAUAAAUAUGUUUUUUCGAUAUUCAAAUUCUUCACUCACUCAAUUAAUAUAAAUUAUAUAGUGUACUGUGUAAACCUACAUUAAUAUAUUAUUAACCAAUUAAUCAAUUUAUGUUUUAUAAAUGAUAUUAAUCCCUUUUCAGAUUACACAUUUAUAUCAACUGGAUAUAAAAAUAAACUGAUGUUAAUGGGCGGUUAUACUUUUGCGCAAAUGCACUCACAGAAGCACUGGUACUGCUCGCAGAAGAGAAAGGGUUGCAAGGCGAAGAAUUUCCUAGCGGCAGAUGCGCUAAGCAUGCGCUUCAAAAAGGCAGUCAACGUAAGCGCUGCGUAGGUUGCUACGACAAAUUAAGGCUUACAUUAAACAGUACUCAAGCUGCAAAAAAACUAAAAAAAUUGUUACUUUCUGUGUUCAGUGUGAUAAAUCAUACUGUUUGCCUUGUUUCAAUGAAAAACAUUUUAAUUGAUUUUUUAUAAAAAUAAAUGUUAUAGCAUCUG